CUGUAAGAGAAAGUAUCUACGCAGCUUGCUGUGAGGAAAGUCCGGACAUCACGAGAACAGCCUUAAGGCUAACGGCCUUGGUUUGAGUCAUAAUUCAUAAAACUCAAAUACGGCCAGUGCCGCAGAGACUAUACUAACCCGUAAGGGUGAAAGGUGAAAAGUCACUCUCGAGAGUGAACGCUUGCAUCAAUGCAAGAUUGUUGGUAAACCCAAGGUGAUGCAAUGGGAAUGGUUCUACGCGAGGUUAUUUGUUCUCUAUCGCUUCAAAAUAGAAUACCCAGCUAGAGUUUGUUAGUGAUGACAAAUCGAGAUAGAUUGAUACUGAGAUACAAAAUCCGGCUUAUUACUCUUACAUUUUU
rnacentral:RNase_P_RNA from 1 species